AUUGAACGCUGGCGGCAGGCCUAACACAUGCAAGUCGAACGAGUGGCGGACGGGUGAGUAAUGUCUGGGAAACUGCCCGAUGGAGGGGGAUAACUACUGGAAAAGGUAGCUAAUACCGCAUACCAUCGGAUGUGCCCAGAUGGGAUUAGCUAGUAGGUGGGGUAACGGCUCACCUAGGCGACGAUCCCUAGCUGGUCUGAGAGGAUGACCAGCCACACUGGAACUGAGACACGGUCCAGACUCCUACGGGAGGCAGCAGUGGGGAAUAUUGCGCAAUGGGCGCAAGCCUGAUGCAGCAAUGCCGCGUGAAUGAUGAAGGCCUUCGGGUUGUAAAGUACUUUCAGCGAGGAGGCGUUACUUACUCAGAAAGCCCCGGCUAACUCCGUGCCAGCAGCCGCGGUAAUUC
rnacentral:rRNA from 1 species